GACGAACGCUGGCGGCGUGCUUAACACAUGCGAGUCGUACGGUAAGGCCCUUUCGGGGGUACACGAGUGGCGAACGGGUGAGUAACACGUGAGUAACCUGCCCACAACUUUGGGAUAACGCUAGGAAACUGGUGCUAAUACUGGAUAUGUGCUCCUGCUGCAUGGUGGGGGUUGGAAAGCUCCGGCGGUUGUGGAUGGACUCGCGGCCUAUCAGCUUGUUGGUGGGGUAGUGGCCUACCAAGGCGGCGACGGGUAGCCGGCCUGAGAGGGUGACCGGCCACAUUGGGGCUGAGAUACGGCCCAGACUCCUACGGGAGGCAGCAGUGGGGAAUAUUGCACAAUGGGCGCAAGCCUGAUGCAGCAACGCCGCGUGCGGGAUGACGGCCUUCGGGUUGUAAACCGCUUUCAGCAGGGACGAAGCUUUUUGUGACGGUACCUGCAGAAGAAGCACCGGCUAACUACGUG
rnacentral:rRNA from 1 species